GCACCCAUAGCUCAGCGGAUAGAGCAUUGGUCUUCGGAACCAACGGCCGGGGGUUCGAAUCCCUCUGGGUGCG
rnacentral:tRNA from 1 species